rnacentral:rRNA from 1 species
AGUAAAUUGGUUAAGUUAGAAAGGGCGCACGGUGGAUGCCUUGGCACUAGGAGCCGAAGAAGGACGGGACUAACACCGAUAUGCUUUGGGGAGCUGUACGUAAGCGUUGAUCCAGAGAUUUCCGAAUGGGGGAACCCACUAUCUUUAGUCGGAUAGUAUCCUUACGUGAAUACAUAGCGUAAGGAAGGCAGACCCAGGGAACUGAAACAUCUAAGUACCUGGAGGAAGAGAAAGAAAAAUCGAUUUCCUGAGUAGCGGCGAGCGAAACGGAAAGAGCCCAAACCAAGAAGCUUGCUUCUUGGGGUUGUAGGACACUCUAUACGGAGUUACAAAAGAAAGCUAUAAAUGAAGCGGUCUGGAAAGGCCCGCCAAAGACGGUAACAGCCCGGUAGUUGAAAUGGUUUUCCCUCCAGAGUGGAUCCUGAGUACGGCGGAACACGUGAAAUUCCGUCGGAAUCCGGGAGGACCAUCUCCCAAGGCUAAAUACUCCCUAGUGACCGAUAGUGAACCAGUACCGUGAGGGAAAGGUGAAAAGCACCCCGGAAGGGGAGUGAAACAGUUCCUGAAACCGUGUGC